rnacentral:tRNA from 1 species
UCCUUGGUGGCUCAGUCAGUAAAGAAUCUGCCUGCAAUGCAGGAGGCCCAGGUUCGAUCCCUGGGUCAGGAA